rnacentral:lncRNA from 1 species
UUUAUGCAGUCUAAGUAGCUGCUUGGCAAACUCAGGCUCUAGAAACCAGCAAAGGUUUCCAAUAUCAGAGAAAUAGCUAAUCGAUUGCCAGCCAGGAAUCACGACCGUGGCCUUGUCACCUACUUGCUGCCAGAACCUCUCGUACAUGGUCGGAUCCCCACUGCAUGAAGCAGGUUAGUAUUAACUUUUUUUCUAAAAAAAGAAAUUGAGAAAAAUUGGGACCUUAAUAAAUAUGAUUUGGGAAAUCAAAUCAGCAUGCUAACAUAUUUUAUUUGUAUAGGAAAAAGAAAUCACAAGAUUUUUAUGUUGUUUCAGGAUCUGUAGCCAGAUUAACCAAGUGGAUUCAGAUGAGGACUCUCCCUGGAAAAUUACCCACAAGCACACAGCAAGCAAGCAGGUAAAGUUUCUGAAAAACUGCAUAUAGUGUGGGGUGGUAGGUAAGGGAAGGCCGAAGGCAGAAUUGGUAGGACCCUCUCAAAAUGAUCAGAUGAUGUGUAUAUGCAUGGAAUAUAGAUAUAAUGUGUGUGUUGCUGGCUUGGCUAGCUACUGACCCAUUAAGCAAAAAUCCAGUUAUAACUGGCACAUAUCUCUAUAGGACCCACAAAGUGCUUGACCCACAAAAGCCCACUUUCCAUAUAACCUAAAACAGGUCAUUAAGCCUAAAAGGAGUCUAUUCUUUAGAUCUUCCCAAAGGCCAAAAGAAGGAGGGGCUCAACAUAUGGCCCCCACGAACAUGCAUCUCCUUCUUCUUCUUCUGAAACUGAACCUAUAGUGCCUUGUGCUAACAUACACCUUGGGCUCCUCCAAAUUGCAAAUAGCUAAAUAAAUCAUUCAACUGUUAGAAGUCUUUAUCAGGAGUUAAAAGGUCCACAAUAGCACCACAACUUAGGUAAAUAAUGAUGGUGCGUGUUCUUUCUUUUAUCAAAAUUAUAAAAAUAAUCAUGAUGAUGGUGCUGGUCAAACUGGCACCAUAGUGCAAUGUUGGCACUUCCAUCACUCGGUCAACCUUCAACUUGGGAGCAGAGAUAUGACAUAAACAGUCAUCAGGUAAAAAAAAAAAAAUUGCAAUUCACCUCACAUUAUUUUAACUUAGAUCCCAUAAUUAAAUUAUAUUUUAAUUUGGAUCUAGCGAUUGAAUUGUAUAUACAGGCAUCUAUUUUUGACAAAAAAAAAAAUCCCCUUGACCAAGCCUCAACACAUCAGCAUGAAAAAUCUAAAACACAAAUAUAUCAGUGAUCCUGUGACCUGUCAUUGUCUACCCUGGCUAAACACUACAGCUUAGCAAGCACAGAGGUAAGCAUGCCCCAGCUCUCUCCUUUUUUUUAUAAAAGCUAGAUGUAGCCCUCAGCCCAUGCUGUACAGAAUAGUAAUAAAUAAAUCAAGGGAAAAAAAUUAUUGGGAAAUUACCCUUGAUAAUGAUAUUUCAUUUUUGCCCCCCCUGGCUUGAAAAUUUGUCUAAGGACAAAGGAAAUGUUAAUUUUGCUGAAACAACACCAACUUCAAGAACCAAAGCCACAUAAUCACAGGCUAAUGAUAAAUAGUACACAGAAAUGUCAAAAAAGAAAUUAUCAAGCGACAAGGAAUAAAGAAGUUUAGAAAAACCAAAAAAGAAAAAUGAUUUGUUUGCACUUACUGGUCUAGAUUGAUCACUCUGUGUCUGUCCUCGCCAGGGAAAGUCGUCGGAGAAGAUGACGAGGUGGUAGACACAGACAGAUGUGCCCUCUGCGUAGACAGUGCCUCUCUCCGGGCACCGUCACCCCCAAUCAGUUGCUCUCUCUUUAUGUCAAAGGUCUGAUACCCCAGCCUCAAAAUGAAGCUC